rnacentral:rRNA from 1 species
UGAUUGAUGGUGCUUGCACCUGAUUGACGAUGGAUCACCAGUGAGUGGCGGACGGGUGAGUAACACGUAGGUAACCUGCCCCGGAGCGGGGGAUAACAUUUGGAAACAGAUGCUAAUACCGCAUAACAACAAAAGCCACAUGGCUUUUGUUUGAAAGAUGGCUUUGGCUAUCACUCUGGGAUGGACCUGCGGUGCAUUAGCUAGUUGGUAAGGUAACGGCUUACCAAGGCGAUGAUGCAUAGCCGAGUUGAGAGACUGAUCGGCCACAAUGGAACUGAGACACGGUCCAUACUCCUACGGGAGGCAGCAGUAGGGAAUCUUCCACAAUGGGCGCAAGCCUGAUGGAGCAACACCGCGUGAGUGAAGAAGGGUUUCGGCUCGUAAAGCUCUGUUGUUGGAGAAGAACGUGCGUGAGAGUAACUGUUCACGCAGUGACGGUAUCCAACCAGAAAGUCACGGCUAACUACGUGCCAGCAGCCGCGGUAAUACGUAGGUGGCAAGCGUUAUCCGGAUUUAUUGGGCGUAAAGCGAGCGCAGGCGGUUGCUUAGGUCUGAUGUGAAAGCCUUCGGCUUAACCGAAGAAGUGCAUCGGAAACCGGGCGACUUGAGUGCAGAAGAGGACAGUGGAACUUCAUGUGUA